rnacentral:tRNA from 1 species
GCCUGGAUAGCUCAGUCGGUAGAGCACGUCCUUGGUAAGGACGAGGUCGCGGGUUCAAUUCCCGCUCCAGGCUCCA